AUACAUACCUGGCAGGGUUGACACCAUCAUCACCAAGGUUGGUUUUCCAAGGACAAGUCUUCGUCAUUGUAUUCUAGAUGUGUUAACCCUUAUAAUUUCCCCAAAGGUGCAAAAUGUGUGGAACAGACUUGCAUAAAUUGUGUUAGUGAAGAACUGAAUACACAUUUUCC
ensembl:snRNA Gm24524 U1 spliceosomal RNA